rnacentral:misc_RNA from 1 species
GAUGAAGAACGUAGCAAAAUGUGAUAAGUAAUGUGAAUUGCAGAAUUCAGUGAAUCAUCGAAUCUUUGAACGCACAUUGCGCCCGCCAGUAUUCUGGCGGGCAUGCCUGUUCGAGCGUCAUUUCAACCCUCAAGCACAGCUUGGUGUUGGGACUCGCGUUAAUUCGCGUUCCCCAAAUUGAUUGGCGGUCACGUCGAGCUUCCAUAGCGUAGUAGUAAAACCCUCGUUACUGGUAAUCGUCGCGGCCACGCCGUUAAACCCCAACUUCUGAAUGUUGACCUCGGAUCAGGUAGGAAUACCCGCUGAACUUAAGCAUAUCAAUAAGCGGAGGA